rnacentral:tRNA from 1 species
GCGUCUAUGGUGUAGGGGUUAACACGUCUCACUGUGGAUGAGAAGAACGUGGGUUCAAAUCCCACUAGACGCC